UGGGGAAUAUUGCACAAUGGGCGAAAGCCUGAUGCAGCGACGCCGCGUGAGGGAUGACGGCCUUCGGGUUGUAAACCUCUUUCAGCAGGGAAGAAGCGAAAGUGACGGUACCUGCAGAAGAAGCGCCGGCUAACUACGUGCCAGCAGCCGCGGUAAUACGUAGGGCGCAAGCGUUGUCCGGAAUUAUUGGGCGUAAAGAGCUCGUAGGCGGUUAGUCGCGUCUGCUGUGAAAACUCGAGGCUCAACCUCGGGCUUGCAGUGGGUACGGGCUGACUAGAGUGCGGUAGGGGUGACUGGAAUUCCUGGUGUAGCGGUGGAAUGCGCAGAUAUCAGGAGGAACACCGAUGGCGAAGGCAGGUCACUGGGCCGCAACUGACGCUGAGGAGCGAAAGCAUGGGGAGCGAACAGGAUUAGAUACCCUGGUAGUCCAUGCCGUAAACGUUGGGCACUAGGUGUGGGUCCAUUCCACGGAUUCCGUGCCGCAGCAAACGCAUUAAGUGCCCCGCCUGGGGAGUACGGCCGCAA
rnacentral:rRNA from 1 species